AGAGUUUGAUCCUGGCUCAGGAUGAACGCUGGCGGCGUGCCUAAUACAUGCAAGUCGAGCGAUGGAUUGAGAGCUUGCUCUCAAGAAGUUAGCGGCGGACGGGUGAGUAACACGUGGGUAACCUGCCCAUAAGACUGGGAUAACUCCGGGAAACCGGGGCUAAUACCGGAUAAUAUUUUGAACUGCAUGGUUCGAAAUUGAAAGGCGGCUUCGGCUGUCACUUAUGGAUGGACCCGCGUCGCAUUAGCUAGUUGGUGAGGUAACGGCUCACCAAGGCAACGAUGCGUAGCCGACCUGAGAGGGUGAUCGGCCACACUGGGACUGAGACACGGCCCAGACUCCUACGGGAGGCAGCAGUAGGGAAUCUUCCGCAAUGGACGAAAGUCUGACGGAGCAACGCCGCGUGAGUGAUGAAGGCUUUCGGGUCGUAAAACUCUGUUGUUAGGGAAGAACAAGUGCUAGUUGAAUAAGCUGGCACCUUGACGGUACCUAACCAGAAAGCCACGGCUAACUACGUGCCAGCAGCCGCGGUAAUACGUAGGUGGCAAGCGUUAUCCGGAAUUAUUGGGCGUAAAGCGCGCGCAGGUGGUUUCUUAAGUCUGAUGUGAAAGCCCACGGCUCAACCGUGGAGGGUCAUUGGAAACUGGGAGACUUGAGUGCAGAAG
rnacentral:rRNA from 1 species